AUUGAACGCUGUCGGCAGGCCUAACACAUGCAAGUCGAGCGGAGCGGCGGAAGGGUGAGUAAUGCCUAGGAAUCUGCCUGGUAGUGGGGGAUAAAGUCCGGAAACGGGAGCUAAUACAGCAUACUAUCAGAUGAGCCUAGGUCGGAUUAGCUCGUUGGUGGGGUAAAGGCAUACCAAGGCGACGAUCCGUAACUGGGCUGAGAGGAUGAUCAGUCACACGGGAACUGAGACAAGGGCCAGACUCCUACGGGAGGCAGCAGGGGGGAAUAUUGGACAAUGGGCGAAAGCCUGAGACAGCCAGGCAGCGUGUGUGAAGAAGGUCUUCGGAUUGUAAAGCACUUUAAGUUGGGAGGCGUUACCAACAGAAUAAGCACCGGCUAACUUCGUGCCAGCCGCCGCGGUAAUUC
rnacentral:rRNA from 1 species